GCCGGAGUGGUGGAAUUGGUAGACGCGCUAGGUUCAGGACCUAGUGGGAGCAAUCCCGUGGGGGUUCGAGUCCCCCCUCCGGCA
rnacentral:tRNA from 1 species